rnacentral:rRNA from 1 species
UACAUGGGGUGCAAACGUUGCUCGGAAUUACUGGGCGUAAAGGGCGCGUAGGCGGCCUGUUAAGUCGAACGUGAAAUCCCCGGGCUCAACCCGGGAACUGCGUCCGAUACUGGCAGGCUUGAAUUCGGGAGAGGGAUGUGGAAUUCCAGGUGUAGCGGUGAAAUGCGUAGAUAUCUGGAGGAACACCGGUGGCGAAGGCGGCAUCCUGGACCGAUAUUGACGCUGAUGCGCGAAAGCCAGGGGAGCAAACGGG